rnacentral:lncRNA from 1 species
CGUCCAUGGACCCCGACCGCCGGCUGCUCGACCUCGGCGGCAGCUUCACCUCGCUGCUCGCGCCCACGCCGGCGCCCCUCCCCGGCGGCCACUUCACCACCACCGGCUUCCUCUUAGGCAUGGCGCCGCCGGCUCCUUCUCCUGCGCCGCCCGCACACCCGCCGCCGACGCACCCACACCCGCCGGUGUCGCAGGCGGGGCCGGAGGGCAUCUGGGCCAUGGGGUGGCCGCACCUCUCCAUCUAGCUCGUCGCCAUCGCCCGCCAUUGGCAGCAGCAACUCGCCACUAAUCUACACAUCGCUCGAGUUUCAUCUGUUGUUCCUAGUUGCACCAAAGUUAUCUUUUUUUUGAGAGCUACUAGCUUCCAAGCACGCGGCCAGUAGAAGAAGUCAUUACUAGCGUAGUGUUAAUCACCUAGGUUAAUUCAGUAAGCAAAACGGUUAGGAGAGUUACUACUACUCGACGAUGGUUGAUGCAUGCAUGGUAGC